rnacentral:lncRNA from 1 species
CAAUGCCGAAUCCUUAACCCACUAAGCCAGGCUGGGGAUCAAACCUAUGUCCCAUGGCUCCAGAGACGCUACCGAUUCCAUUGCACCACAGCAGAAAUUCCCAGGGAAGCAUUUUAUUUGAGCAUCUCCUAGAUCCAGUUCUCUGCAGAACCUAAUCCAGGCGAUGAGAAUGAAGUUUGACCAACCGUCAGCAACAAAGCCUUCAAAUGUGAUUCUCUCUUUGAACACCUCCAGUGACAGGCAGAUCACUACCUACUGUGUGUUCCUGUUGAAUUCAGGGACUUCUCUGAUGCAUUUUCCCACCCAAUGAUGCUGGCCUCCAGGUUAAAAAUCUAGUGUAAUCUAGCAUAUCUUCAUCAGACAAACUUUCAUGUUAAAUAAUAUAAAGAAAGCAUACCUUCUUUUAUUUACUGAUUCACAUCCAAGAUAUAAACUCUAUUUAUACACAGGAUAAAAUAAAGAUCUAUUAAGUCCUGAGGAGGGAGAGGGGUGGAAUACCACUAGGUUCCUUUAAAAGCCUCACUUAGGGGAGUUAAAAAAAACUAACAAAAUCUCCAUUUACUCCCCAUUGCACAGAAAGCAGGAUCUACCGCUUCACUAUGGGGACAUUCUUACUAAAAAAAUAUAGGCCUGUGCAGCCUAUGAUCUUUCUGCUACACAGAGCAUCUAUCAAUGAUAUAAAAAGAACACCUAUCAAUGAUAUAAAAAUCUUGUGCAGAUCUUCCUAAAAUGUAAAAAAUAAAAGGGGGAAGGGAGCAGAGAUGAAGAGAGAGAUGAAAAUGUGAGGUAUGUGUGAAUUUGCCACCAGGCACCACUGAAAAGGUAAAGCAGAGGAUGCUGAUGGGGAAUGUCACCACCACCUAAAGGGGGAAAUGAAGACAAUGACAUCAUCUAUGUGACUAAGCCAUGCCCACCUGCCCUCCACUUUGUUUAACUGGUCCAAUUUCAGGUGCAAACAGCAUAGCAGUCAAGGCAUCUGUUUUACUCUGUCAAACCAACAGGAUUCUUUCUCCUUGAAAGGCUUGUUUCAUACCUAUUUUCUUUGGGGCCCUAGGAGAUAAGGAUAGAAUGGACCAGACUAUGUAUUUAAUGUUAAUGGAAAAUGCCACACAUGCAAUAUAGUUAGGAAGAUAAAGGGCAAGACUGGCAUUUUUCUUUCUCCUUAUUUCAAUGAACCAUCCCCUAGUGUAAAGCAAGCAGCAUAUAUUUCCAGUUCAUGGAUUAGAUGUGUAUGUUUCCUGGAGCAAUAUUUAAAUGUAGUGGCAUGGGACUAUGACAAAAAUAAUCAGAAAGAGUAACUCUAAAGGCUCUCUUGGUAUUGGCAAGACCAGUCUUUGAAGUGGGGGGGAAAAAAAAACAAAAAACAAAUCUGUGAAGGAGCUGAGCAGCUACACAGCCCAGCAAGUGUAGACUCUGCUUAUACCUUGAAUUGAGGCCAUGCGUGGCUAUAAUACAUAGUUUUUUCAGGAAAACAGUCACUCAGAGAUUGGUGUAGAAAUAAAUACAAAUACUCAGAAACAAGGUGCUAAUGGAGAUGGUGUAAACAUGUGUGGGCCCACAUUUAUCUGUAUGUAUCUGCACGUCUAUAAAUUUCCCCACUAUAAAUGGGUUCACCAGUACUGUCACUCUUGUAUUAUCUCAGAAAAUUGCCUGAAGAAUUUCUUUAAUUUCUGCCUCUCCAUUUUUUUCUUUCUUUUUAGGAUCAUACCUGCAGCAUAUGUACAUUCCUGGACCAGCGGUUGAAUCGGAGCAGCAGCUACUGGCCUACAGCACAGCCACACCAGAUCUGAGCCACAUCUGUAACCUACACUGCAGCUCACGGCAACAUAAACUAUGGCCCCAGAAGCAAAGUCUGGCCCACCACCUGUUUUUGUAAUUAAAGUUUUAUUGGAACACAGCCUCAUCCAUGUAUUUUCUGUGCCGCCUUCAAAUCACAAUGGCAGAGUGGAGUAGUUGUGAGAGAGUUUCUAUGAUCUGCAAAGCCUAAAAUAUUUAUUAUAUGGCCCUUUACAGAAAAACUUAACCCUGAACUAGACUAUCUCAUAUUGAUUUUGGUUUAUGAUUCAAUAAAGUACAACCAAAGAAUAAAGGCCUACUCUGUGUGCUUCCUGCCCUUUUUAUUUAUGUAUCCAGACACACCUUGCUUUAUUGCUCUUUGAAGAUACUGUUUUUGUUUUUUGUAUUUUGUUUUUUGGGGUUUUUUUUUUUUUUGACAAAUCGAAGGUUCGUGGCAACACUGUCAGGCAAGUCUAUAGGAGCCAUUUUUUUCAACAGCAUUUGUUCACUUCGUGUCAUUGUGUCCCAUUUUGGUAAUUUGGUAAUUCAAACUUUAUCAUUUGUUAAAGUGACCUUUGAUGUUAGUGAAUGACUUGCUGAAGGCUCCGAUGAUGAUUAGUAUCUUUUAGUAAUACAUGACUUUUAAGGUAUGUACAUUGUCUUUUAAAACCAUUCAAUGGCAAAAUGAUUGUAUUAUCAAGUAAUUGAAGGUCAUAUGACUUAUUAGGUUAUGUUAUGACAGCUAAUGUUGCUCAUUAAAGUAACUUAUCCAUCUCAAUGGAAUAUGAUGUUGCCAUAAGUUAGUGUCACUCUGGGUUCAGGAAUGCAUAAGAAUUUCCUAUUGAAAUAAAAGUUAAUUAAAAAAAACCCAUAAUGCUAUUGCACACUUAACAGACCACAGUACAGUGUAAACACAAUUUAUAUAUGCACUGGGAAACCAAGAUAUUUGUAUGACGCACUCUAUCACAAUAUUCGCUUAGUUCAGUGGUCGGGAAAUGAACCUGCAAUAUCUCUGAGGUCUGCCUGGACUGCCUGACUCAUAGAAAGAUUUCGCUUGGCUCACAAAACUGUACAGAGCACACAACCACACACAUGAGGCAAAAGGGAAAUGAGGGAAGACACGGGUGAAGCUGGGAGGAUGUGAAAACACAGAAUGCAAACCCUGAGGCGCUGUGUAUUGUCAAUGGCCCACCAACCAGGCUCCAAGGAGCCACUGCAACAAGGGGCCAGGAUCUCUUUUCCACUUUAGAGUAUUCACUGGCGGUCCACCAGGAGGACCAUGGCAAUCCUGGCAGGAAGAAAUUUCUACCCCAAGUCUGCAGAAGCAGAGAACGUGAGAUGUAGUGAGCCAGGACCCCAACUACAUCCGCAGCCUGGGGGUGUCUCAGUGGAAUUCACUGCAACACUGAUAUAUCCCUUAGUGCGGGGCCACCUCCAAAGUGGAACUGAGCAUCCAUUCUCCCAGUAAAUUCCCAAAUUUUGAAUUAAGCAUGUACCAACUUUACAUCAGAAACCACAGAGUUCUCCUACGGCACAGUGGAUAACGGAUCUGGUGUCACUCCAGUAGCUUGGGUCACUGCUAUGGCACGGGUUGGAUCCCGGCCUGGGGACUUCCAUGUGCCAUGGGCACAGCCAAACAGAAAACAAAAAGAAAUACUUUAAUGUUAAAAAAGAUAAGGGAAGCAGUAAUCCUUGACAGCCUAGGAGACUGUAAUACAGAAACCUCAGCCAUUGCUCCAAGAGGGGGCCCUGUCCAGAUCUGCUGUUUUUGUGAAGCUAAGCCUGAGUGCCAAGGGGAGAGACAACGCAAGACGGGCUAUUCUGAGCCCUGGUCAAAGCAUGUUUAUCACUUUGGUGGUGAAGCUCCAGGUGGUAGCUAUAAAAAGCACUGGCGAAUGGUGAUUCUCAUUUGUCAUUGUUUACACUGAGCUCUACAACUUUAUAUCAACGUAAAUAAUUCACGCCCUGGGUCUCUGGCACUCACUGCCUUAUGCCCAGUGCCUGGAAGAGCGCCUGGUGCAGGUGAGAAGUAAGGACUUCCUGAAUGCACAAUGUGCUCGUCUGAGAAGUUCUCGAGAACCCAUGAAUCUACAGACAUGCUGAGGUUGUCUUGUUGAACCCUUCCCUGGCUGGGCCUUACCCACCAUGCCCUGGCUUUGAGACUCACCUGUGACAAUGAGACAGGUGAGAAAGGGGCCCAGAUGUGGAGGCCAAGCUUCUGAGCUGUGCGUCAAGGAAAAUGAAUUAAAAAUUGAAAAGGGAAACUGCAUGGCCGGGGUGUCUAGUCUCGCUCGAGUCCCACUGGUGCAAGGAUAAACAUUUGGACAGUUCAAGACAAACACAGCUUUGGGUUCUGAACAGGCAGAGCUGCUUUCUCUCGCACACGGAGGCUGCAAUAGGAAAUUGGCUCCUUGCUUGGAAUAAGGACCUGCCUUUCCUAAAGGAGAGGCCUGUCCUGAAGGCCCCACCUGUCACUCUGAGCUGCCUGCCCUCUGCGCACCAGAGCAAGCCAGGCAGCAUAUUCUCCAUGGAGACCUUCAGCAAACAGCUGGCAUCACACAGCAGUGUCAGGCAAGGAGGCCUGGGUACAUCACACUUGUCCAUGCAAACGUUAAGAGAAUCAGGCCUAGCAGCCCCAGGACCUAAUUAGCUCAGAGGCAGUAAGGUCAAAAUGUCACAGCCAAAGCAGCAGCUGACAGUGGCUUCAAAAAGAAGAGGCAUUAUCUUCAACUGGGAAGUCAUGACACAGGAAGAGCACUCAAUAGGGAGGCUGGAGAUGGGUAUUAGCCUGGUUCUGUUGCCUCAUUGCCAUUCCUAGGCCUCAGUUUUCUCAACUGUAAAAUGGGCGUGACUUAGUUGCUAACCCUGGCUUCAUGGCUUCCUCAACUCCUAUCACAUGACACCAAAUUAGGAGCUAAGCAAGGAAUACCAUGUGGUCCUUGCCCUUCAACACGACCAUAAUGUAAACAUAGUGCCUGGCACCAUGCUGGCUC